ensembl:lncRNA
CUCUGAAUCAUGUUGCCUCUAGAUCUAACCAGACUUGUUCCAUAUAAGGCAGAAUUUGUAGCCAAGAUCCAGUCAGUGGGACUCAUAUAAUCAGAACUAUUUUAGACCUGUUAGGACCCAUUUGUAUCUACAGGCAGCAGCUACAGGAGCUGCGAAUGAAGCAUGAGCAAAAAACAGCCCAUUUGCAAGAGAAGAAGAUAGAGCUUCUGGGGGAGUCUGGAUCUGAGAAGAUAAAGACUUUCAAACAGAAGUUAGUGAGCAGGGCAGCUACAGCACAAGGAUUAAGACAGCAUUAUCUUUGUUCAGAGUCAGGACCUGGUGCUCCUCUCCUGCUUCACAGUUUCUCAGGUGAAAAAGAAACAAAAAAAGAAUUGGUUAAUGGGGAAUCAAGCAUCCCACCAAAAGAGCACCCCAACACUCAUGAGUAUUCAAAUGCACCUGAAAAACAAGCGGUACAGCACUGCAGCUCCAUGCCAAACUUGACAGUGCAGAAUUCAACUAGUGCCCUGGACCAGUACAACUCCAACCAUGACCUGAGGGACCGCACAGUACAUGGUCAUCACUCUGCAGCAGAUAUGGACGUCAGAUUAAUACUCCAAACAUCAGUGGAUUCUUCCAAAGUAUCAGAUAAUCCAAUUCAUUGUUCUUCAAAACCUUUCCCAACAUUGGCUCAACCUCGGACUGCAAUCACAACAGCAACUGACGUGGUUUACUGUGAAAGCAUAGUCACUCAGAAUUUGGUGCCAUUUGGAUACCAGAGAGAGCAACUCCCGCCCCAUGUCAGGGAGAAUUUGACCUCAUACUCAAAAGUCCAUAGACCACACAAAAACUUGUUAGAGCCUGAAAUAGAAAAGAAACCUAUCUUGGUGUCAAAAUUCUUCAGCAAACUCAAUUUCACACCAGGAGACAAGGCUGUAAUAUUCCCUUUUCACCACCACCCUCAUCUCAUCAGUAGAACACAAAGUGCUUUCCACUCCAGGGGAAUCCAUCUGAGUAGCAGAAACUCCACGGACAAGAGACAAACACAACUUCAGAGUGCUCAAACAGUUUUCCAAAAAUCAGAUUGUCAUCAGUUCAGCCUUCAGGACCUUUUGGUGAUCUCCACCCCAGGUCACAUGGACCCGCGACCUAGGAAAAACAAUACCCUAACUUCAGGGGAUAUUCCAAUGGGCAGGGCCUGAGCAGAACUGCAGCACUGUUUUGCCUCCUGAAGUCUGAGAGAUGCUCACUCCUGUAGAUAAUCUGUUCAUCAGGAACUGACAGAAACAUUUUGUUGUUUCUUUUCAAAUAUACUCCUUGGUGAUUGCCUCCAGUUAUACGGCUUCCAUAGCAUGAAACAUCAAUGUGUCACCAAUGACAUUUGCAUUCAAAAAAAAAAAAGUCAGGAGUUUGUGGGUGUCUUGAUGUGAAACUGUCAUGCUGGAACUUGAUGUACAUCUCCUCCCUUUGGCAGUGUCUGCUUACUGCUAACUCUUGUUUUAGUUUAGUGAAAAAUUCUUUUGUAAGAAGAAUUCCAGUGUGAUGUCUGCUCUAUUCAACUGAACAUCAGCCAUUAAGGGGAAAAUUCCGUGCACUGAAUUUCAGCUGCUCAACUCCUAAUAUCAGCUGGAACUGCACAGAUGAAUCCUUGCAGCAUAAUUUGAAAAUUUACCCUGAAAUGUGCAGGACAUACUUAUUUUAGCUAAUGUAGAGUGAAGUUACAGUCCUGACUUUUAACAAGAAUUCAGAGAAAAUAAAAAUGGACAGUGUAGUGUAGACGGGGUUUUA